GACGAACGCUGGCGGCGUGCCUAACACAUGCAAGUCGAACGGGGAGUUAGUAAUAACUCCUAGUGGCGAACGGGUGAGUAACGCGUAGAUAACCUGCCUCUAAACUGGGGACAGCACCGCGAAAGUGGUGCUAAUACCGAAUGUGGUAUCUUGGUCGCAUGACUGAGAUAAGAAAGAUGGCCUCUGAAUAUGCUAUCGCUUAGAGAUGGGUCUGCGUCUGAUUAGCUAGUUGGUGAGGUAACGGCUCACCAAGGCGACGAUCAGUAGCCGGUCUGAGAGGAUGAACGGCCACACUGGGACUGAGACACGGCCCAGACUCCUACGGGAGGCAGCAGUGGGGAAUCUUCCGCAAUGGACGAAAGUCUGACGGAGCAACGCCGCGUGAGUGAAGAAGGUCUUCGGAUUGUAAAGCUCUGUUGUGAGGGAAGAACAGCUUCCGGAGGAAAUGCCGGAGGUUUGCCGGUACCUCACCAGAAAGCUCCGGCUAACUACGUGCCAGCAGCCGCCGUAAUAC
rnacentral:rRNA from 1 species